GUGCUCUCAUGGUGACUGGCCAAGGAGGAACCCCUCUGCACAGAGGUCUCUGUUUCUUACUUCUAUGAAGUAAAGAUAAAGCACUUAGCAGUAUGCUUGGCACAUAAUGUGCAUUUACUCCAUGUUUUUAAGUUUAAUACAUUAUAUAAGUGUGUAAAUAGGCCCUCAAUAAAGAUGAAAAACUACGUUCUUUGGAUCAAUGAGAGGAAAACUGAGAGAAGAAAGUGGAUUUGCCAAACUAAACUUCAACAAAGAUCCCCAGAUUGUAGCAUCUCUGAAAUCCAGACAUUCUCAUAAUGGAAAGCAUCUUAUGUCAUCGUGGCCAGGAAGUGGUCCUGAUGUGAUGUUCAUUGCUUGGACCUGCACGAACUUGACUGCCAUUCUUGGUGGCCUGAUCGACCAAAUGCAGCCCUUCAACACUCAGGCAGGAAGGAAGUCUUGCUUAUUGUCUAAAAACCUUUCUUUGACACCUGGUUAAAAAAAAAGAUACACAUACUUGCAAUUGAAUAACACUGAUUAUCUCUAGAUUAUAAACAUUUUCAAUUUCUUCUUUAUAUCACCCAUUCCUUUACAGCAGCACAGAAAUAGACUAAUGCAGGGGAUUAUAUAAAUCUAUGAAGAUUUACUGGGGACUCUGAGUUGAUAGUAGCCUAAAUUUUCACCUCCCGACUAUUCUCUGAAUCAUGAGAAGGUUUUCUAUGAAAAAAGAAAACGGAGAUGAGUCUGAGCACAACUUCUCCAUGAUCUCCAGGGGAAGAAAGUGUGGGG
rnacentral:lncRNA from 1 species